ACGCGUAAAGAACUUACCUCACAGAUAGGGACAACAUUUGGAAACGAAUGCUAAUACCUGAUAUUAUGAUUUUAGGGCAUCCUAGAAUUAUGAAAGCUAUAUGCGCUGUGAGAGAGCUUUGCGUCCCAUUAGCUAGUUGGAGAGGUAACGGCUCACCAAGGCGAUGAUGGGUAGCCGGCCUGAGAGGGUGAUCGGCCACAAGGGGACUGAGACACGGCCCUUACUCCUACGGGAGGCAGCAGUGGGGAAUAUUGGACAAUGGACCAAGAGUCUGAUCCAGCAAUUCUGUGUGCACGAUGAAGUUUUUCGGAAUGUAAAGUGCUUUCAGUUGGGAAGAAAAAAAUGACGGUACCAACAGAAGAAGUGACGGCUAAAUACGUGCCAGCAGCCGCGGUAAUACGUAUGUCACAAGCGUUAUCCGGAUUUAUUGGGCGUAAAGCGCGUCUAGGUGGUUAUGUAAGUCUGAUGUGAAAAUGCAGGGCUCAACUCUGUAUUGCGUUGGAAACUGUGUAACUAGAGUACUGGAGAGGUAAGCGGAACUACAAGUGUAGAGGUGAAAUUCGUAGAUAUUUGUAGGAAUGCCGAUGGGGAAGCCAGCUUACUGGACAGAUACUGACGCUGAAGCGCGAAAGCGUGGGUAGCAAACAGGAUUAGAUACCCUGGUAGUCCACGCCGUAAACGAUGAUUACUANGUGUUGGGGGUCGAACCUCAGCGCCCAAGCAAACGCGAUAAGUAAUCCGCCUGGGGAGUACGUACGCCAGUAUGAAACUCAAGGAAU
rnacentral:rRNA from 1 species